GGUUGACCUCGGAUCAGGUAGGGAUACCCGCUGAACUUAAGCAUAUCAAUAAGCGGAGGAAAAGAAACCAACCGGGAUUGCCUCAGUAACGGCGAGUGAAGCGGCAAGAGCUCAAAUUUGAAAUCUGGCCCCUCCGGGGUCCGAGUUGUAAUUUGCAGAGGAUGCUUCGGGCGCGGCCCCCGUCUAAGUGCCCUGGAACGGGCCGUCAUAGAGGGUGAGAAUCCCGUCUGGGACGGGGUGUCCGCGUCCGUGUGAAGCUCCUUCGACGAGUCGAGUUGUUUGGGAAUGCAGCUCUAAAUGGGUGGUAAAUUUCAUCUAAAGCUAAAUACUGGCCGGAGACCGAUAGCGCACAAGUAGAGUGAUCGAAAGAUGAAAAGCACUUUGAAAAGAGAGUUAAAAAGCACGUGAAAUUGUUGAAAGGGAAGCGCUUGCGACCAGACUCGCUCGCGGGGUUCAGCCGGCAUUCGUGCCGGUGUACUUCCCCGCGGGCGGGCCAGCGUCGGUUUGGGCGGCCGGUCAAAGGCCCCCGGAAUGUAGUGCCCUUCGGGGCACCUUAUAGCCGGGGGUGCAAUGCGGCCAGCCCGGACCGAGGAACGCGCUUCGGCACGGACGCUGGCAUAAUGGUCGUAAACGACC
rnacentral:rRNA from 1 species